AUUGAACGCUGGCGGCAGGCCUAACACAUGCAAGUCGAGCGGAUGAGAGGAGCUUGCUCCUUGAUUUAGCGGCGGACGGGUGAGUAAUGCCUAGGAAUCUGCCUGGUAGUGGGGGGUAACGUCCGGAAACGGGCGCUAAUACCGCAUACGUUCUACGGGAGAAAGCAGGGGACCUUCGGGCCUUGCGCUAUCAGAUGAGCCUAGGUCGGAUUAGCUAGUUGGUGAGGUAAUGGCUCACCAAGGCUACGAUCCGUAACUGGUCUGAGAGGAUGAUCAGUCACACUGGAACUGAGACACGGUCCAGACUCCUACGGGAGGAAGCAGUGGGGAAUAUUGGACAAUGGGCGAAAGCCUGAUCCAGCCAUGCCGCGUGUGUGAAGAAGGUCUUCGGAUUGUAAAGCACUUUAAGUUGGGAGGAAGGGCAGUAAAUUAAUACUUUGCUGUUUUGACGUUACCGACAGAAUAAGCACCGGCUAACUUCGUGCCAGCAGCCGCCGUAAAAU
rnacentral:rRNA from 1 species